AUUGAACGCUGGCGGAAUGCUUUACACAUGCAAGUCGAGCGGCAGCGCGGGGGCAACCCUGGCGGCGAGCGGCGAACGGGUGAGUAAUACACCGGAACGUGUCCUUCAAGUGGGGAGUAGCUCGGCGAAAGCCGGAUUAAUACCGCAUAAGCUCUGAGGAGGAAAGCGGGGGACGUGGUAACGGCCUCGCGCUGUUGGAGCGGCCGAUGUCGGAUUAGCUAGUUGGUGGGGUAAAGGCCCACCAAGGCGACGAUCCGUAGCUGGUCUGAGAGGAUGAUCAGCCACACUGGAACUGAGACACGGUCCAGACUCCUACGGGAGGCAGCAGUGGGGAAGUUUUGGACAAUGGGGGCGAACCCUGAUCCAGCCAUUCCGCGUGAGUGAAGAAGGCCUGGUGUAAGA
rnacentral:rRNA from 1 species